GUUUCGAUAGCUCAGUGGAAGAGCAAGCGACUGCAAAUCGUUAGGUCGCCAGUUCAAUCCUGGUUCGGAACU
rfam:Dictyostelium discoideum AX4 chromosome 6, whole genome shotgun sequence.